rnacentral:lncRNA from 1 species
UUCUCAGGUGGAGGUUUUGAGACACAGAGCGGUUGGUUGCUUUGUGACUCAUUGCGGAUGGAGCUCGACGCUUGAGAGUUUGGUUCUUGGAGUUCCGGUGGUGGCGUUUCCGAUGUGGUCUGAUCAACCUACGAACGCGAAGCUUCUGGAGGAGUUGUGGGGGACAGGUGUGAGGGUGAGGGAGAACGAGGAAGGGUUGGUGGAGAGGGGAGAAAUAAGGAGGUGUUUGGAGGCAGUGAUGGAUGAGAAGCUGGUGGAGCUGAGGGGAAACGCUGAGGAAUGGAGGCGUUUAGCGGUUGAAGCGGGUAGAGAAGGUGGGUCAUGUGAUAAGAACAUUGAGGCUUUUGUGGAUGAGAUUCUGCUCAGUGAAGCAGAGGAGGUUAAAGA